CCUACGGGAGGCAGCAGUGGGGAAUUUUGGACAAUGGGCGCAAGCCUGAUCCAGCCAUGCCGCGUGCGGGAAGAAGGCCUUCGGGUUGUAAACCGCUUUUGUCAGGGAAGAAAUCCUUUGGGUUAAUACCCCGGGGGGAUGACGGUACCUGAAGAAUAAGCACCGGCUAACUACGUGCCAGCAGCCGCGGUAAUACGUAGGGUGCAAGCGUUAAUCGGAAUUACUGGGCGUAAAGCGUGCGCAGGCGGUUGUGUAAGACAGGUGUGAAAUCCCCGGGCUUAACCUGGGAACUGCACUUGUGACUGCACGGCUAGAGUGCGGCAGAGGGGGAUGGAAUUCCGCGUGUAGCAGUGAAAUGCGUAGAUAUGCGGAGGAACACCGAUGGCGAAGGCAAUCCCCUGGGCCUGCACUGACGCUCAUGCACGAAAGCGUGGGGAGCAAACAGGAUUAGAUACCCUGGUAGUCCACGCCCUAAACGAUGUCAACUGGUUGUUGGACGGCUUGCUGUUCAGUAACGAAGCUAACGCGUGAAGUUGACCGCCUGGGGAGUACGGCCGCAAGGUUGAAACUCAAAG
rnacentral:rRNA from 1 species